UGACUGGCUAUUGUGCCGCUGCAGGAGAAAGAAAUCCCCAUCAGGGUCGUGAACAAGCUGUUUAUCAUCACUGGCUUGAAGGAGCUGCCUAAAGAUCUGCAAGGGCACAGCCUGCUGGUCACCUCCUCCAGCGCCCUCGCCUCUCUCCAGCCGCCCACGCUUGCUCCUGCAGCGACACCUGCAGACCAUCUCCACCCUGACAGCCCCUCCAUGAGUGAAGACGACCUCCCCAACCUCACCGGGAGCCCAGCGGCUACAUAGAAAAGCUGAAACAGCGCCAAAGCCACCACACACGUCACCGACUGACAAGUCGUCAUCCAGUCCGAGCCGUCCUCCACAGACAAGUCAGCGUCUGCAAGAGAAGCAGCCUGAGAAACCCUCAUGGUGAAGAACUUGAACAUCUUCUUCCAGCCCAGGUUGCCAAGUGGAGGACGCUCUUGUUGUGUGGAUGGCAUUUUGUGACCCGUGCCUCAGGGCUUUGGCUGGUCGCCGUUUGGGGCCAGGAAGGAAUUUUUUCCCCCUUCAUUUAUGGAACCAACUUCUGGGGGUUUUUCGCCUUCCUCUGAGGCAUCGGGACAUAGUCAGACCAUCCCGGCGUCUGUUCUGUUAGUAGCCUGCCUUUGAAUCCAUCGAGGGCCAUUCAGGGAGUGAAGAGAGCAAAGGCAUAAACAAUGUGCACUGUUAAACAUAGAUUUAGUGUAAUAUGUAAUGUUGAACAUAGAUGUUAUAGAACUUAAGAGUAGAUGUAAGAUAAUAAAGUUAAGCUUUAGUUUUCUUUUCUUAUAA